UACGUAGGGGGCAAGCGUUGUCCGGAAUCAUUGGGCGUAAAGAGCGUGUAGGCGGCCCGAUAAGUCCGCUGUGAAAGUCCAGGGCUCAACCCUGGAAUGCCGGUGGAUACUGUCGGGCUCGAAUCCGGAAGAGGUGAGUGGAAUUCCUGGUGUAGCGGUGAAAUGCGCAGAUAUCAGGAGGAACACCGAUGGCGAAGGCAGGUCUCUGGGCUGUAACUGACGCUGAGGAGCGAAAGCAUGGGGAGCGAACAGG
rnacentral:rRNA from 1 species